GAAAUGCGAUACGCAAUGCGAAUUGCAGAAUUCCGCGAAUCAUCAGAUUCUUGAACGCAACUGGCGCUGGAGGGCUAUCCUUCCAGCAUGUCUGUUUCAGUGUCUGAAAACAUCAAAUAAACCUAAUGUGUUUGACAAGGAAAUUACGAAAGUAGUCUCUAAGUCUUACAUUAAAGAUGUAUGUGUGGGUCUUUGGAUCCAUCGAAUUGGUCACUGAUCACUUCAGUGAUUUCGAUUGGAUAUUUUACCAAUUACCUAUAUACACAUAUAUUUAUUUAUUACUUCAACAUCUGCAUCUGAAAUCAGGCAAGAACACCCGCUGAACUUAA
rnacentral:misc_RNA from 1 species